AUGUCCGUCGCUGCCGGCGUCGCCCUCGCCGUGGCCGACGCCGUGUGGGCGCAGAUCAAGGCCGCGGGACACGCCACCGACGAGCACCUGUCCAUCCUCGACCACCUGUUCGGCAAGAACAUGCUGCGCGCCUGCAAGAUCCUCGACGAGGGCGGCGUCCGCCGCGUCACCGGCGCGCCCAGCGGCCGCUCGCUCUUCCUGGUGAUGGGGGAGUCCAAGAGGAAGGAGGAGUACAUCUGCUUCCCGGAGCACCUCUGCACCUGCUACUCCUUCUUCUAUGACAUCGUCGGCCGCGGUGAGCAGCUCUGCUGUAAGCACCAGUUGGCAGCGCGGCUCGCAGAAGCUGUCGGCAAACACCAGGAGAUGGAGGUGACUGAUGAGGAGCUCGCUCACAUGCUUGCUAACCUCUGA
rnacentral:rRNA from 1 species